rnacentral:lncRNA from 1 species
CAGAGCUCUGAGCUGUUCUCCUGGCCUUGCAGGCGCACACCACCCGCUCCAGCCAGCGGUGCCUGGCCUUUGUGGAUGACGUCCGAUGCUCCAACCCGUCCCUGCCGAUGACCAGGCACUGCCUUACUCGUAUCCUUUCAUCUCAGGCCCAGCUUCCAGGGGUUUGAUCCUCUUUUUUUUUUUUUCCCUUUUUGGCCCUGAAUCAAGGCCGUCGGUUUGCUGUAGCCGUUGGUUUCAAACAGGAGCCCAAAGGAAUUUUCUUCCUGUGGUCCGCUGGCCGAGCCAGAGCAUCUCCGGGGUGCGGCCAGGUCACUUGGAAGUGACAAAGGGACCUCGUGAAGCCCGAGGCAGGCCCGAGCUGGCUGCCAGCUGUGGAAUAGGUUUUCCACUGGGAAGGAAAAUGCAGUGGGAAGCUGGAAAUAACCGGAACCCAACUCCUGGCGGUGGGAGCAGCAUUGUGCGCGCUGCCGUCCCCGCUGCCUGCUGGACCUGGAAACCGGUGCAGACGCCUCUGAAAUGGACGUCUGCAAAUCAAAGUGAGCCCGGGCAUGUGGAAU